GUGGGGAAUAUUGGGCAAUGGGCGCAAGCCUGACCCAGCAACGCCGCGUGAAGGAAGAAGGCUUUCGGGUUGUAAACUUCUUUUACCAGGGACGAAACAAAUGACGGUACCUGGUGAAUAAGCCACGGCUAACUACGUGCCAGCAGCCGCGGUAAUACGUAGGUGGCGAGCGUUAUCCGGAUUUAUUGGGUGUAAAGGGCGUGUAGGCGGGACAGCAAGUCAGAUGUGAAAACCAGAGGCUCAACCUCUGGCCUGCAUUUGAAACUGUUGUUCUUGAGUGGCGGAGAGGUAAUCGGAAUUCCGUGUGUAGCGGUGAAAUGCGUAGAUAUACGGAGGAACACCAGUGGCGAAGGCGGAUUACUGGACGAUAACUGACGCUGAGGCGCGAAAGCGUGGGGAGCAAACAGGAUUAGAAACCCGAGUAGUCC
rnacentral:rRNA from 1 species